AUUGAACGCUGGCGGCAGGCCUAACACAUGCAAGUCGAGCGGAUGAAGGGAGCUUGCUCCUGGAUUCAGCGGCGGACGGGUGAGUAAUGCCUAGGAAUCUGCCUGGCAGUGGGGGAUAACGUCCGGAAACGGGCGCUAAUACCGCAUACGUCCUGAGGGAGAAAGUGGGGGAUCUUCGGACCUCACGCUCUCAGAUGAGCCUAGGUCGGAUUAGCUAGUUGGUGGGGUAAAGGCCUACCAAGGCGACGAUCCGUAACUGGUCUGAGAGGAUGAUCAGUCACACUGGAACUGAGACACGGUCCAGACUCCUACGGGAGGCAGCAGUGGGGAAUAUUGGACAGUGGGCGAAAGCCUGAUCCAGCCAUGCCGCGUGUGUGAAGAAGGUCUUCGGAUUGUAAAGCACUUUAAGUUGGGAGGAAGGGCAGUAAGUUAAUACCUUGCUGUUUUGACGUUACCGACAGAAUAAGCACCGGCUAACUUCGUG
rnacentral:rRNA from 1 species